UCAGACGAUGCGUCAUGCAUAUCAAUAAGCGGAGGAAAAGAAAAUAACAAUGAUUUCCCUAGUAACGGCGAGUGAACAGGAAAGAGCUCAAAGUUGGAACCUGCUUGACUUAGUUAAGCCGGAUUGUAAACUGUAGAAACGUUUUCUAGGCAAGCCGAGUUAAAAAGUCCUUUGGAACAGGGCAUCAUAGAGGGUGAGAAUCCCGUCUUUGACUCGAGUAUUUUGUCUUUUUAUGAUACGUUUUCCAAGAGUCAGGUUGUUUGGGAAUGCAGCCUAAAUUGGGUGGUAAAUUUCAUCUAAAGCUAAAUAUUGGCGAGAGACCGAUAGCGAACAAGUACCGUGAGGGAAAGAUGAAAAGAACUUUGAAAAGAGAGUUAAACAGUACGUGAAAUUGUCAAAAGGGAAGCGUUUGACACCAGUGUUGUUUUCUCGAAAAUCGAUUAAAAGAUGGCUCGAUUUUGUAUUGCUGAUGACCUUAAAAGUUCCUGUAUCAAUUAUUCUUGUCUUUUUUAAUGCACUUUUCGUUUAACAAGUCAACAUCAGUUUCUUUUGUUGUAAAAGGGUCAUUGGAAGGUGGCUUUCUUUUCGGAGAAAGUGUUUAUAGCCUUUGACUCCUGCAAUCGGAGAGACUGAGGUCUGCAGCGUAGAUCCUUCGGGGUUAGAUACAUUUGUGCUAAGUUAUAGCUUUUUAUAGACAACUUGUUGACUAUGAUUAGUCUUGUAGCUUACUCGCUUAUGCUAUUUUACCUACGCUUAGGAUGUUGAGUCGUAGAGCACGCAG
rnacentral:rRNA from 1 species